CCUACGGGAGGCAGCAGUGAGGAAUAUUGGUCAAUGGACGAGAGUCUGAACCAGCCAAGUAGCGUGAAGGAUGACUGCCCUAUGGGUUGUAAACUUCUUUUAUAAAGGAAUAAAACGAGGCACGUGUGCCUUUUUGCAUGUACGUUAUGAAUAAGGAUCGGCUAACUCCGUGCCAGCAGCCGCGGUAAUACGGAGGAUCCGAGCGUUAUCCGGAUCUAUUGGGUCUAAAGGGAGCGUAUAUGUGUUGUUAAGUCAGUUGUGAAAGUUUGCGGCUCAACCGUAAAAUUGCAAUUGAUACUGGCAGUCUUGCGUACAGUUGAGGUCGGCGCAAUUCGUUGUGUAGCCGU
rnacentral:rRNA from 1 species